CACCUUAGUUUCCAGACAACGCAUCUUCCGAUUCCGAUAGUACUUAUUCGAUAAUUAAAAUUGAUUCUAUAAAAGAGAAAUAUGCCUAUGCGUUUGAUAAGGAGGACUCGAUCGAUAGCAAUGAUUUAGCCAUUAUUGAUCAUAUUCCUGGCAAUUCUCUCCUUACCGAGCUUACAGAAUUAGAUAAACUAUAAAAAUAGUUUCAUUAAAUUUAUUCUACAUGAAAUGUUAGAUAUAAAAAUCUAAAGGAGAAGAAG